GCACCAUUGGUGUAUCGGCUAGCAUGACAGCCUUCCAAGCUGUUGGGGCGGGUCCGACUCCCGCAUGGUGCA
rfam:Giardia lamblia ATCC 50803 SC_579 genomic scaffold, whole genome shotgun sequence.